ACGGCUCAGUAACACGUGGAUAACCUGCCCUUGGGUCCGGCAUAACCCCGGGAAACUGGGGAUAAUUCCGGAUAACGCAUAUGUGCUGGAAUGCUUUAUGCGUAAAAUGGAUUCGUCUGCCCAAGGAUGGGUCUGCGGCCUAUCAGGUAGUAGUGGGUGUAAUGUACCUACUAGCCGACAACGGGUACGGGUUGUGAGAGCAAGAGCCCGGAGAUGGAUUCUGAGACAUGAAUCCAGGCCCUACGGGGCGCAGCAGGCGCGAAAACUUUACAAUGCGGGAAACCGUGAUAAGGGGACACCGAGUGCCAGCAUCAUAUGCUGGCUGUCCAGGUGUGUAAAAUACACCUGUUAGCAAGGGCCGGGCAAGACCGGUGCCAGCCGCCGCGGUAACACCGGCGGCCCGAGUGGUGAUCGUGAUUAUUGGGUCUAAAGGGUCCGUAGCCGGUUUGGUCAGUCCUCCGGGGAAUCUGAUAGCUCAACUAUUAGGCUUUCGGGGGAUACUGCCAGACUUGGAACCGGGAGAGGUAAGAGGUACUACAGGGGUAGGAGUGAAAUCUUGUAAUCCCUGUGGGACCACCUGUGGCGAAGGCGUCUUACCAGAACGGGUUCGACGGUGAGGGACGAAAGCUGGGGGCACGAACCGGAUUAGAUACCCGGGUAGUCCCAGCCGUAAACGAUGCUCGCUAGGUGUCAGGCAUGGCGCGACCGUGUCUGGUGCCGCAGGGAAGCCGUGAAGCGAGCCACCUGGGAAGUACGGCCGCAAGGCUGAAACUUAAAGGAAUUGGCGGGGGAGCAC
rnacentral:rRNA from 1 species